UACGUAGGGGGCAAGCGUUGUCCGGAUUUAUUGGGCGUAAAGAGCGUGUAGGCGGCCAGGUAGGUCAGCUGUGAAAACUCGAGGCUCAACCUCGAGCUGUCGGCUGAAACCAUCUGGCUAGAGUCCGGAAGAGGAGAAUGGAAUUCCCGGUGUAGCGGUGAAAUGCGCAGAUAUCGGGAGGAACACCAAUUGCGAAGGCAGCUCGCUGGGACGUUACUGACGCUGAGACGCGAAAGCGUGGGGAGCAAACAGG
rnacentral:rRNA from 1 species